rnacentral:siRNA from 1 species
AGAGGUUGAGAUCAUCGGGAUGA